CGGCGGACGGGUGAGUACGCGUGGGUAACCUACCCUGUACACACGGAUAACAUACCGAAAGGUAUGCUAAUACGGGAUAAUAUAUUUGAGAGGCAUCUCUUAAAUAUCAAAGGUGAGCCAGUACAGGAUGGACCCGCGUCUGAUUAGCUAGUUGGUAAGGUAACGGCUUACCAAGGCGACGAUCAGUAGCCGACCUGAGAGGGUGAUCGGCCACAUUGGAACUGAGACACGGUCCAA
rnacentral:rRNA from 1 species